rnacentral:tRNA from 1 species
UGGCCCCUAGCUCAGUCUGGUAGAGCGCCGCCCUCAUAAGGCGGAGGUCCCUGGUUCAAAUCCGGGCGGGCCAAC